GGUACCAGGAGAAGCAGAAUGUAAUCUGCAGACAUUUCUAGGAGAUUGGGAUACAAAGGCUGGGCCCUCCAGAGAGGAGUUAUUAAGAGGAUAUUGACUCCAAGAACCCUGAGAUGAUAAAGAGUUCAAGAGAUCAUUGAAAAAGGUGGAAAGGCAUAAGCCACUGUCGAUAUUUUACACUGUCACUGUAAGAAUGCGUUGACGGCUUGAG